rnacentral:rRNA from 1 species
GCUUCGGCCCCGGUACAGCGGCGCACGGGUGCGUAACGCGUGGGUAAUCUACCUUUGGGUGGGGGAUAACACCUCGAAAGGGGUGCUAAUACCGCAUGAGACCACGACCCCCUCGGGGGAUGUGGGAAAAGCUGGCCUCUCCUUGGAAGCUAGCGCCUGAAGAUGAGCCCGCGUCUCAUCAGCUUGUUGGUGGGGUAAUGGCCUACCAAGGCUAAGACGGGUAGCUGGUCUGAGAGGAUGAUCAGCCACACUGGCACUGGAACACGGGCCAGACUCCUACGGGAGGCAGCAGUAGGGAAUAUUGGGCAAUGGGCGAAAGCCUGACCCAGCCACGCCGCGUGAGUGAUGAAGGCCUUCGGGUUGUAAAGCUCUGUGGGGAGGGACGAAAAAGGCGAGUCGAAUAGGCUCGCAAAUUGACGGUACCUCCUUAGCAAGCACCGGCUAACUCUGUGCCAGCAGCCGCGGUAAGACAGAGGGUGCAAACGUUGCUCGGAAUUACUGGGCGUAAAGCGCGUGUAGGCGGACCGUUAAGUCGGGUGUGAAAUCCCCGGGCUCAACUCGGGAACUGCAUCCGAAACUGGCGGUCUAGAGUGAUGGAGAGGGAAGCGGAAUUCCCGGUGUAGAGGUGAAAUUCGUAGAUAUCGGGAGGAACACCAGUGGCGAAGGCGGCUUCCUGGACAUCGACUGACGCUGAGACGCGAAAGCGUGGGGAGCAAACAGGAUUAGAUACCCUGGUAGUCCACGCCGUAAACGAUGAGUGCUAGGUGUCGCGGGUUUUGACCCCUGCGGUGCCGUAGCUAACGCGUUAAGCACUCCGCCUGGGGAGUACGGNCGCAAGGCUNAAACUCAAAGGAAUU